rnacentral:rRNA from 1 species
UACGAAGGGGGGCUAGCGUUGCUCGGAAUCACUGGGCGUAAAGCGCACGUAGGCGGGUUGCUAAGUCAGGGGUGAAAUCCUGGAGCUCAACUCCAGAACUGCCCUUGAUACUGGCGGCCUUGAGUCCGGGAGAGGUGAGUGGAACUGCGAGUGUAGAGGUGAAAUUCGUAGAUAUUCGCAAGAACACCAGUGGCGAAGGCGGCUCCACUGGCCCGGUACGUGACGCUGAGGUGCGAAAGCCGUGGGGGAGCAAACAGGG